rnacentral:rRNA from 1 species
AGUACAGACCGUARUAAGGUGAAACCGCGAAUGGCUCAUUAAAUCAGUUAUGGUUCCUUGGAUCGUACAUAGUUACUUGGAUAACUGUGGYAAUUCUAGAGCUAAUACAUGCAGCAGAGCUCCGACCUUCGGGAACGAGCGCUUUUAUUAGACCAAAAUCAAUCGGGCCCUCGGGUCCGUUGAACGUGGUGACUCUGUAUAACUUUUGGCUGAUCGCACGGGCUCGUCCCGGCGACGCAUCCUUCAAGUGUCUGCCUUAUCAACUGUCGAUGGUAGGUUAUGCGCCUACCAUGGUCGUAACGGGUGACGGGGAAUCAGGGUUCGAUUCCGGAGAGGGAGCCUGAGAAACGGCUACCACAUCCAAGGAAGGCAGCAGGCGCGCAAAUUACCCACUCCCGGUACGGGGAGGUAGUGACGAAAAAUAACAAUACGGGACUCUUUUGAGACCCCGUAAUUGGAUUGAGCACAGCCUAAAUCCUUUAGCGAUUAUCAAUUGGAGGACAAGCCAAGUGCCAGCACCCGCGGAAACACUUGCUCCAAUAGCGUAUAUUAAAGUUGUUGCGGUUAAAAAGCUCGUAGUUGGAUCUCAGUUCUAGUCGGGCGGUCCGCCUAACGGCGAUAACUGCCCGUUCUGAACAGCUCAGCCGGUUUCCCUUGAUGAUCUUUACCGGUUGUCUCGGUUGACCGGCACGUUUACUUUGAAUAAAUUAGAGUGCUCAAAGCAGGCGAGAYGCCUGGACAAUGGUGCAUGGAAUAAUGGAAUAGGACCUCGGUUCUAUUUUGUUGGUUUUCGGAACA